GAUGAACGCUGGCGGCGUGCUUAACACAUGCAAGUCGAACGAUGAAGCCCAGCUUGCUGGGUGGAUUAGUGGCGAACGGGUGAGUAACACGUGAGUAACCUGCCCUUAACUCUGGGAUAAGCCUGGGAAACUGGGUCUAAUACCGGAUAGGAGCGUCCACCGCAUGGUGGGUGUUGGAAAGAUUUAUCGGUUUUGGAUGGACUCGCGGCCUAUCAGCUUGUUGGUGAGGUAAUGGCUCACCAAGGCGACGACGGGUAGCCGGCCUGAGAGGGUGACCGGCCACACUGGGACUGAGACAAGGCCCAGACUCAUACGGGAGGCAGCAGUGGGGAAGAUUGCACAAUGGGCGAAAGCCUGAUGCAGCGACGCCGCGUGAGGGAUGACGGCAUUCGGGUUGUAAACCUCUUUCAGUAGGGAAGAAGCGAAAGUGACGGUACCUGCAGAAGAAGCACCGGCUAACUACGUG
rnacentral:rRNA from 1 species